GACGAACGCUGGCGGCGUGCUUAACACAUGCAAGUCGAACGGAAAGGCCCUGCUUGCAGGGUCUUCGAGUGGCGAACGGGUGUGUAACACGUGGGUGAUCUCCCCUGCACUUUGGGAUAAGCCUGGGAAACUGGGUCUAAUACCGGAUAGAAGCCAUCUUUAUUGUGAUUGUUGGAAAGUUUUUUCGGUGUAGGAUGAGAUCGCGGCCUAUCAGCUUGUUGGUGGGGUAAUGGCCUACCAAGGCGGCGACGGGUAGCCGGCCCGGGAGGGUGGACGGCCACAAUGGGACUGAGGGACGGCCCAGACGCCUACGGGAGGCAACAGGGGGGAAUAUUGCACAAUGGGGGCGAGCCUGAUGCAACGACGCCGGGGGGGGGAUGACGGGCUUCGGGUUGUAAACUCCUUUCGCUAGGGACGAAGCUUUUUGUGACGGUACCUAGAGAAGAAGCACCGGCUAACUACGUG
rnacentral:rRNA from 1 species